AAUUGAAAAAUUAUUGUCUUUUUUUUAAAAAAAAAUUAGUUAGAAAUGUAAAGUAAUUAGGCGUUAAACUUAGGUAACUAAUCAUUAAAUUCUUUGUCACUUAUAUUAGGAAUAAUAGGUAAGAAUUAAUAUAUUCUUAUUAAUGCACUGCUGAUGUUUUUCAUUAAAUAUGAGAUUGAGAAUACUUUCCAUUCCACGAUAUUUAUGGGGAUCAGGAGUACGUAAUGAUUCCGCUACUUCACUAGCACUUUUUAUAACUAUCUAACGCAAUGAUUAAAGUAUUAUUUGGCACAG
rnacentral:lncRNA from 1 species